rnacentral:rRNA from 1 species
UACGGGGGGGGGCAAGCGUUGUUCGGAAUUACUGGGCGUAAAGGGUCCGUAGGUGGCCAACUAAGUCAGACGUGAAAUCCCUCAGCUUAACUGGGGAACUGCGUCUGAGACUGGAUGGCUUGAGUGCAGGAGAGGAAUGCGGAAUUCCAGGUGUAGCGGUGAAAUGCGUAGAUAUCUGGAGGAACACCGGUGGCGAAGGCGGCAUUCUGGACUGCAACUGACACUGAUAGACGAAAGCCAGGGGAGCAAACGGG